GAACACGUGGCCCAUUUAAUCUUUGAUAUGAAUUAAAAAGCCGUAAUAUUAAGUUCUGAAUAGCCAAGUUUUUCAUUUAGUCGCUGAAAAUAUAUCGUGAAUAAACCCAAUUUAAGGAGUGGAAGGGGUAAUUUGCGAAACAUGGUUCUUUUGAGACUUCUUUCCUCGUUGAAGAAAAUCGGUCGAAAUAUCCCUGUGCUUGGCUUAGCCUCCUUCCACGAACGAAACUAUGUCAGCUUGAGCAAUAUAGUGCAGAAGGAUACCAAAUGAACGAUGCAUGGAAAAUCACACACGCACUGCGGUGGCCGAGUUCACAGAAAAACCACGUACUCAUUACAAAUUUAAGGGCUGUUAAUAAACGUGGCAAUACACUGUCUUCUAUGAAUCACACACAAUUUCCGUACAAAUCAUUGAUCACUUAUAUUGCGAUAUUCACAUACAUGCACAUGAAAUAAAACCGUAUAU
rnacentral:misc_RNA from 1 species